rnacentral:rRNA from 1 species
GUGGGGAAUUGUUCACAAUGGGCGCAAGCCUGAUGACGCAACGCCGCGUGGGGGAUGAAGGUCUUCGGAUUGUAAACCCCUGUCGAACGGGACGAAAGACCCGGGAGCUAAUCAUCCUGGGAGUGACGGUACCGUUAAAGGAAGCCACGGCUAACUCUGUGCCAGCAGCCGCGGUAAUACAGAGGUGGCAAGCGUUGUUCGGAAUUACUGGGCGUAAAGGGCGCGUAGGCGGCCAUCUAAGUCAGACGUGAAAUCCCCCGGCUUAACCUGGGAACUGCGUCUGAUACUGGACGGCUCGAGUUUGGGAGAGGGAUGUGGAAUUCCAGGUGUAGCGGUGAAAUGCGUAGAUAUCUGGAGGAACACCGGUGGCGAAGGCGGCAUCCUGGACCAACACUGACGCUGAGGCGCGAAAGCUAGGGGAGCAAACGGGAUUAGAAACCCGUGUAGUCC